CACUGAAUCUCUGUUUUUAGAACCUGAUUCUAAAGAUCAACAACCAUUAAUGAGAACAGGGAAGAACACACAGUGGAAGCGGUGGCCAUUUUGUGCUAAGCCAGUAUUCAUGAGGGCACCACCUACUCAUUGCCGCUCCUGGCUCCGACUGACAUACUCACAUAGAUAUUGGCCCUGGACCAGAAAAUGGCUGCCUCCACGUUUACUCUUUCUUAAAGUGGUAUAAUCUGAGCAGAAAGCUGCACACAGUUUUCAUCUGCUCACACAUUUCCAUGGACCAUAUUUUAUAAAGCGGCAAAAGAAGAACGUCACAAUUAUUGUAACCCGAGAUCUUGCAAGUGGCUGCCACAUGGCCGACUUCUGGUGAAUUACCGUCACCGGGAGACUGGCAGAAAAAGAUAAUCUACACAAAUUCAAACUAGUAUCUCAAUGACAACAUAAUGGCCAAACAGUACAACUUCACAUAACUCCUGACAUCUCAUCCUGGGCUCUUUGGUCCAUCUCUAUAAAUUGACCCCUCUUCCUUGGCACGGUCAGGGCCCGGCUGGAUGAAGCUUGGUUUGUGUAUAUUAUUUACUAUGAAAUGCCAGCCUCUGUUGGCUCCAGCGCCAGGACGAGACGUCACAUGAAAACUACCUGGACUUUGCUUUUCUUUGGCUGUUACUGCCUAUAUCAAAGUUCACAGUGAUAUUCCCUAUUCACCGGAGAGGUAAUUCUGUGAUGUUACACACAGGUCAAUGUGAUCUAGUUACAUAAUUGCAGAUUAUUUCCAGGCCUCGUCAGAUGAAUGAUUGAUGAUUGCCUUUACCUCUGCUAGCAAGCUGCGGACUCUUUAUAAAGGAAUAAUUGUG